rnacentral:lncRNA from 1 species
GAUACUGUUGUCAGGUCAUUAAAGAUUGCAUAUUUUGGUGUUAAUAUUGAUUCACUUAUAGGGUCUUUGCAUCGGAACUAAACACAUUUAUUCAAAAACCAGUUGUUGGCAUGACACGGGUUAUGUUCUUCUCAUAUAUAUGUUAUGAUGGUAUGAUACUAAAACCCUAACGGGAAGGAUUGUGCCUGAUGUUCAUAUGAUGAAAUCAUAAUCUUUC